GAUGAACGCUAGCUACAGGCUUAACACAUGCAAGUCGAGGGGAAACGGCAUCGAAAGCUUGCUUUUGAUGGGCGUCGACCGGCGCACGGGUGAGUAACGCGUAUCCAACCUGCCCAUCACUUGGGAAUAACCUUGCGAAAGUAAGACUAAUGCCCACUGACAUCCCACGAAAGCAUCCGAAUGGGAUUAAAGAUUUAUCGGUGAUGGAUGGGGAUGCGUCUGAUUAGCUUGUUGGCGGGGUGACGGCCCACCAAGGCAACGAUCAGUAGGGGUUCUGAGAGGAAGGUCCCCCACAUUGGAACUGAGACACGGUCCAAACUCCUACGGGAGGCAGCAGUGAGGAAUAUUGGUCAAUGGGCGAGAGCCUGAACCAGCCAAGUAGCGUGCAGGAUGACGGCCCUAUGGGUAGUAAACUGCUUUUAUAAGGGAAUAAAGUGGGUCACGUGUGACUUUUUGCAUGUACCUUAUGAAUAAGGACCGGCUAAUUCCGUG
rnacentral:rRNA from 1 species